rnacentral:rRNA from 1 species
UUGGAGGGCAAGUCUGGUGCCAGCAGCCGCGGUAAUUCCAGCUCCAAUAGCGUAUAUUAAAGUUGUUGCAGUUAAAAAGCUCGUAGUUGAACUUCGGGGUUUACUUAUUGGUCAGGCUUAAUUGUCUGUACUGGUGAGAUGAAUCUCUACCUUCUGAGGAACUUUCAUGUCAUUUAUUUGGUGUGAUUGGAAAUCAGGACUGUUACUUUGAAAAAAUUAGAGUGUUUAAAGCAGGCUAACGUCUGAAUACAUUAGCAUGGAAUAAUGAAAUAGGACGGACUGAUUCUAUUUCGUUGGUUUCUAGGAUCACCGUAAUGAUUAAUAGGGAUAGUUGGGGGCAUUAGUAUUCAAUUGUCAGAGGUGAAAUUCUUGGAUUUAUUGAAGACUAACUACUGCGAAAGCAUUUGCCAAGGAUGUUUUCAUUAAUCAAGAACGAAAGUUAGGGGAUCGAAGACGAUCAGAUACCGUCGUAGUCUUAACCAUAAACUAUGCCGACUAGGGAUCGGACGAAGUUAAUUUUAUAAUGACGCGUUCGGCGCCUUACGGGAAAC